GACGAACGCUGGCGGCAUGCCUAACACAUGCAAGUCGAACGAGACCUUCGGGUCUAGUGGCGCACGGGUGCGUGCCGCGUGGGAACCUGCACGUAGGUUAGGAAUAACUCCCCGAAAGGGGUGCUAAUACCGGAUAAUGUCUUCGGACCAAAGAUUUAUCGCCUUUGGAUGGGCCCGCGUUGGAUUAGCUAGUUGGUAGGGUAAAAGCCUACCAAGGCGACGAUCCAUAGCUGGUCUGAGAGGAUGCUCAGCCACACUGGGACUGAGACACGGCCCAGACUCCUACGGGAGGCAGCAGAGGGGAAUAUUGGACAAGGGGCGAAAGCCUGAUCCAGCAAUGCCGCGUGAGUGAUGAAGGCCUUAGGGUUGUAAAGCUCUUUUACCCGGGAUGAUAAUGACAGUACCGGGAGAAUAAGCUCCGGCUAACUCCGUG
rnacentral:rRNA from 1 species